GAUUCCGUAGCUCAGCUGGUAGAGCAUUACACUUUUAAUGUAAGGGUCCUGAGUUCGAACCUCAGCGGGAUCACAA
rnacentral:tRNA from 1 species